rnacentral:rRNA from 1 species
GAGCCCGCGUGGGAUUAGCUAGUUGGUGGGGUAAUGGCGUGCCAAGGGGACGAUCCAUAGCUGGUCUGAGGGAAUGAUCAGCCACACUGGGACUGAGACACGGCCCAGACUCNUACGGGAGGCAGCAGUGGGGAAUAUUGGACAAUGGGCGCAAGCCUGAUCCAGCCAUGCCGCGUGAGUGAUGAAGGCCCUAGGGUUGUAAAGCUCUUUCAACGGUGAAGAUAAUGACGGUAACCGUAGAAGAAGCCCCGGCUAACUUCGUGCCAGCAGCCGCGGUAAUACGAAGGGGGCUAGCGUUGUUCGGAAUUACUGGGCGUAAAGCGCACGUAGGCGGAUACUUAAGUCAGGGGUGAAAUCCCGGGGCUCAACCCCGGAACUGCCUUUGAUACUGGGUAUCUGGAGUCCGGAAGAGGUGAGUGGAAUUCCGAGUGUAGAGGUGAAAUUCGUAGAUAUUCGGAGGAACACCAAUGGCGAAGGGGGCUCACUGGUCCGGUACUGACGCUGAGGUGCGAAAGCGUGGGGAGCAAACAGGAUUAUAUCCCCUGGU